UCUUGAUCAGUUAUCAAGAAAGAUCGAGAGAGAGAGAGAUCCGUUGUCGUCGCCGCGUGAAUCCAAUUGAAUCCGGUAAUUCUCUCCCCUAAUUUUCAGGUGAUAUUCAGAGGCUUUGCGUCUUUGUUCCGUAGAAGUACAGAGAAGGUACUUUGAUCCAUUUCAAUUCGAUCAAUUAUCAAGAACGAUCCACAGAGGGAUAGAGAGAUCGGGUGUGUUUGUUUGCUUUGCUUUGCACAAAGACAUAGAGAGAGAGACAUAGCUCAUAUUCAGAAAAGGGGGAUUCUCACCUCCUCAUCUCAGCACGAGCUACUCAUUUUUCCUGAGUGAACCCUACUGUAGGCUGGUUAUCAAGCUAUGAUUGAAUGUGCUUAGAUUAUGGGCAUACAGGUAUAUGUCUCUUAUCCCAUCAUUGCUUUCAGGUUUCUGGAAUGGUUAGAAGUCGUACUUUUUUGACAUCAUUCAUCUCAAAAAAAAAAAAAAAAAAAAGUCGUACUUUUAGAUUCAAUUUUUACCAUAAACAUUUACUUUCCUCCCAAGUCAUUACAACUAUGUUCAACUCUGAAGACUAAUGAGGGCAGUAGAAGAAAGUUUUCAAUGAAAAAUUAAUCUAAAGAUUCUUAAACAUUUAGUGGUUCUGAUGCAUCCUCAGGUUUAUAUCCUUGGUACAGCAUAUUAUAUAUACUCUAAUGCAUAUAUAUAUAGUUAGGAUUUAGACCUAUAAUGAUGCAUUAUGUCCUUAAAAGGAAUUUAGUUUAGCUUCAAGGUUUCCAGUUUGAGAUUGUAACUUCUGGCAUGACUUGAUUUUUUUUUUUUUUGGUAACUAUUGCAUGAUUAAUGCAUCUUGUUUGAGAAUUUUGCAUUAUGUUUCAAUUAUAUGGACAGAUUCCUUCUAUUCAAUUUUUAGUGAAUCACAUGACCGAUGUGUGCAUUCACAAUUGAAUGUCACAGUACUUUUUUUGAUUUGCAUAUGGUUUUAUGCUCCAAUGUUUAAUAUAUUUUUUUUCCUU